GAAAGAUUCAUACGUCUCUUUUCGAAUCAAGCCUUAUGCUUAUUACAUUCUUUUUUCACAUGACCUUUCUUCCCACAAAAGUAGCAACUCAGGGUAAAUUUUCUAUCACGACUCUGGUUAUUCUCCCUAGUUCUACUCUGUUUCUUUGGUGGAAUGUUCUUUGCUUUUCUGGAUUUGCCUUUAUUCUUCAUAGCUCCAUGAGUAACUACAAGGGCAAAGUUAUGUCCAUCUUGCUUUAAUCUCAUUUCCUCUUCAAUACACUUGCUAGUAAGCUCAUUUAUAUUCCACUGUUAAUCAUUAGUGUUAUAGUGAAUUUUGAAUGGAGCAAACUGUGUAGGAAGUAAGUUAAGGACAAAUUAAACUAAGAAUGACUCAUCCAUGUUCAUGCCCAAUGCCUUAAGUUUUGCAGCCUUUUCAGCCAUGUUCAAAAUGUGUUGUUUAAUUU
rnacentral:lncRNA from 1 species